rnacentral:rRNA from 1 species
GAUGAACGCUGGCGGCGUGCCUAAUACAUGCAAGUCGAGCGAACGGACGAGAAGCUUGCUUCUCUGAUGUUAGCGGCGGGCGGGUGAGUAACGCGUGGAUAACCUACCUAUAAGACUGGGAUAACUUCGGGAAACCGUAGCUUAUACCGGAUAAUCUUUUGAACCGCAUGGUUCAAAAGUGAAAGACGGCCUUGCUGUCACUUAUAGAUGGAUCCGCGCUGCAUUAGCUAGUUGGUAAGGUAACGGCUUACCAAGGCAACGAUGCAUAGCCGACCUGACAGGGUGAUCGGCCACACUGGAACUGAGACACGGUCCAGACUCCUACGGGAGGCAGCAGUAGGGAAUCUGCCGCAAUGGUCGCAAGCCUGACGGAGCAACGCCGCGUGAGUGACGAAGGUCUUCGGAUCGUAAAACUCUGUUAUUGGGGAAGAACAGAUGUGUAAUUAACUGUGCACAUCUUGACGGUACCUGAUCAGAAAGCCACGGCUAACUACGUG